rnacentral:rRNA from 1 species
UACAGAGGUCUCAAGCGUUGUUCGGAAUCACUGGGCGUAAAGCGUGCGUAGGCGGCUCUGCAAGUCAGAGGUGAAAUGCCGGGGCUCAACCCCGGAACUGCCUUUGAAACUGCAUGGCUGGAGUGUCGGAGGGGAUAGCGGAAUUCCUAAUGUAGUGGUGAAAUACGUAGAUAUUAGGAGGAACACCGGUGGCGAAGGCGGCUAUCUGGACGACAACUGACGCUGAGGCACGAAAGCGUGGGGAUCAAACAGG